rnacentral:rRNA from 1 species
GGAGGAUGCGAGCGUUAUCCGGAAUCAUUGGGUUUAAAGGGUCCGUAGGCGGGCUGAUAAGUCAGAGGUGAAAGCGCUUAGCUCAACUAAGCAACUGCCUUUGAAACUGUCAGUCUUGAAUGAUUGUGAAGUAGUUGGAAUGUGUAGUGUAGCGGUGAAAUGCUUAGAUAUUACACAGAACACCGAUAGCGAAGGCAUAUUACUAACAAUUUAUUGACGCUGAUGGACGAAAGCGUGGGGAGCGAACAGGAUUAGAUACCCUGGUAGUCCACGCUGUAAACGAUGGAUACUAGCUGUUUGGAGCAAUCUGAGUGGCUAAGCGAAAGUGAUAAGUAUCCCACCUGGGGAGUACGCACGCAAGUGUG